AAGCAAGGCCCGCCGGCAAUGAAGACUGCUAAUCUCCUCCCUUUUGGUUGAACUCCAGAACUCGCUUA
rnacentral:tRNA from 1 species